GCAUAUCAAUAAGCGGAGGAAAAGAAACUAACAAGGAUUCCCCUAGUAACGGCGAGUGAAGAGGGAAGAGCCCAAGAUUGAAAGCUGGCGUCUUCGGCGUCCGCAUUGUAAUCUCAAGAAGUGUUUUCCGCUUCGGACCAUGCCUAAGUCCCUUGGAAAAGGGCAUCAUAGAGGGUGAUAAUCCCGUACAUGGCAUGGAGCGCCCGAAGCUUUGUGAUACGCUUUCUAAGAGUCGAGUUGUUUGGGAAUGCAGCUCAAAAUGGGUGGUAAAUGCCAUCUAAGGCUAAAUAUUGGGGAGAGACCGAUAGCGAACAAGUACAGUGAUGGAAAGAUGAAAAGAACUUUGAAAAGAGAGUUAAACAGUACGUGAAAUUGCCAAAAGGGAAGGGUAGGAGGUCAGAGAUGCGGCCUAGGAUUCAGCCUUGCUUUUGCUUGGUGUUUUUCCUAGGUUGCAGGCCAACGUCGGUUUUGGGCACUGGAGAAGGGUGGAAGGAAUGUGGCACCUCUCGGGGUGUGUUAUAGCCUUCUACUGGAUACAGCGACCGAGACCGAGGACAGCAGCGUACUCGCAAGAGCGGGCCUUCGGGCACCUUUACGCUUAGGGCGUUGGCAUAAUGGCCCUCUACCACCCGUCUUGAAACACGGACCAAGGAGUCUAACAUGUAUGCGAGUCUUUGGGUGGCAAACCCAUAGGCGCAAUGAAAGUGAAUUCAGGUGGGAUCCGCAAGGUGCACCAUCGACCGAUCCUCACGUCUUUUUAAGUCGUGGAUUUGAGUAAGAGCAUACCUGUUGGGACCCGAAAGAUGGUGAACUAUGCCUGAAUAGGGUGAAGCCAGAGGAAACUCUGGUGGAGGCUCGUAGCGGUUCUGACGUGCAAAUCGAUCGUCAAAUUUGGGUAUAGGGGCGAAAGACUAAUCGAACCAUCUAGUAGCUGGUUCCUGCGA
rnacentral:rRNA from 1 species